AGGGUUUGAUUCUGGCUCAGGAUGAACGCUAGCGACAGGCUUAACACAUGCAAGUCGAGGGGCAUCAUGAGGUAGCAAUACCUUGAUGGCGACCGGCGCACGGGUGAGUAACGCGUAUCCAACCUUCCGUACACUCAGGGAUAGCCUUUCGAAAGAAAGAUUAAUACCUGAUGGUAUGAUGAGAUUGCAUGAUAGCAUCAUUAAAGAUUUAUCGGUGUACGAUGGGGAUGCGUUCCAUUAGGUAGUAGGCGGGGUAACGGCCCACCUAGCCAACGAUGGAUAGGGGUUCUGAGAGGAAGGUCCCCCACAUUGGAACUGAGACACGGUCCAA
rnacentral:rRNA from 1 species